ensembl:lncRNA
GUGUGAUUGCCCCAUCCAGGUAAACACCGUGAUCAAACAAACCUGUUCUGUCAACUGGGUGACUACUCAGCUAUCGGGAAAUAACGACGAUUGCCUUAAAUCAAUUGGAAGGGUAGAGAAAUGCACGUACAGUACCAGUCAAAAGUUUGGACACACCGACUCAUUCCAGGGUUUUUCUUUAUUUUUACUAUUUCCUACAUUGUAGAAUAGUGAAGAUAUCAGAAGUAUGAUUGUUUUAAUUAACUAGGCAAGCCAGUUAAGAAUAAAUUCUUAUUUACAAUGAUAGCCGUUAACAGUGGGUUAACUGCCUUGUUCAGGGGCAGAAUGACAGAUUUUUUACCUUGUCAGCUCGGGGAUUUGAUCUAGCAGCCUACGACAUCAAUACUAUGAAAUAACACAUAUGGAAUCAUGUAGUAACCAAAAAAGUGUUAAACAAUUCAAAAUAUAUAUUUUUUUUAGAUUCUUCAAAGUAGCCGCCCUUUGCCUUGAUGACAGUUUUGCACACGUGGCACUCUCUCAACCAGCUUCAUGAGGACAAUGACCCAAAACACACCUCCAGGCUGUUUAAGGGCUAUUUCACCAAGAAGGAGAGUGAUGGAGUGCUGCAUCAGAUGACCUGACCUCAACCCAAUUGAGAUGGUUUGGGAUGAGUUGGACCACAGAGUGAAGGAAAAGCAGCCAACAAGUGCUUGGCAUAUGUGGGAACUACUUCAAGACUGUUGGGAAAGCAUUCCAGGUGAAGCUGGUUGAGAGAAUGCCAAGAGUGUGCAAAGCUGUCAUCAAGGCAAAGGGUGGUUUCUUUGAAGAAUCUCAAAUAUAAAAUAUAUUUAGAUUUGUUUAACACUUUUUUUGCUUACUACAUGUGUUAUUUCAUAAUAUUGAUGUUUUCACUAUUAUUCUACAAUGUAGAAAAUAGUAAAAAAUAAAGAAAAACCCUUGAAUGAGAAGGUGUCCAAACUUUUGACUGGUACUGUAUGUUUACAUUUAAUGCAAUAUGUAUGCAUGCUGACUAUGAGACAUAUCAACACAUUUUUUGUAACCUACUGUACUUCAUGAUCAUGCUAAAGUUCUGCUCCAGAUUAGAGCCCAUGGGGCGACAUUCUGAAGUUCUGCUCCAGAUUAGAGACCAUAGGAUGAC